rnacentral:rRNA from 1 species
AACGAACGCUGGCGGCAUGCCUAACACAUGCAAGUCGAACGAGACCUUCGGGUCUAGUGGCGCACGGGUGCGUAACGCGUGGGAAUCUGCCCUUGGGUUCGGAAUAACAGUUAGAAAUGACUGCUAAUACCGGAUAAUGUCGUAAGACCAAAGAUUUAUCGCCCAGGGAUGAGCCCGCGUAGGAUUAGCUAGUUGGUGAGGUAAAGGCUCACCAAGGCGACGAUCCUUAGCUGGUCUGAGAGGAUGAUCAGCCACACUGGGACUGAGACACGGCCCAGACUCCUACGGGAGGCAGCAGUGGGGAAUAUUGGACAAUGGGCGAAAGCCUGAUCCAGCAAUGCCGCGUGAGUGAUGAAGGCCUUAGGGUUGUAAAGCUCUUUUACCCGGGAUGAUAAUGACAGUACCGGGAGAAUAAGCCCCGGCUAACUCCGUGCCAGCAGCCGCGGUAAU